rnacentral:rRNA from 1 species
AGAAUCAACGCUGGCGGCGUGCCUAACACAUGCAAGUCGAACGAGAAAGGGUAGCAAUACCUGAGUAAAGUGGCGCACGGGUGAGUAACACGUGACUAACCUACCCUGGAGUGGGGGAUAACUGAGGGAAAACCUUAGCUAAUACCGCAUAACACCUACGGGUCAAAGGAGCAAUUCGCUUAAGGAGGGGGUCGCGGCCGAUUAGUUAGUUGGCGGGGUAAUGGCCCACCAAGACUGUGAUCGGUAUCC